GACUUCAAAGAUGAUUUUAUUUUUCAUUUUCUUCUGCUGUUGAAUGUAUUCAGGAGAGGAGGC
rnacentral:sRNA from 1 species